CAGUAGCCGCGGUAACACGAAGGGGGCUAGCGUUGUUCGGAUUUACUGGGCGUAAAGCGCACGUAGGCGGAUCGAUCAGUCAGGGGUGAAAUCCCAGAGCUCAACUCUGGAACUGCCUUUGAUACUGUCGAUCUGGAGUAUGGAAGAGGUGAGUGGAAUUCCGAGUGUAGAGGUGAAAUUCGUAGAUAUUCGGAGGAACACCGGUGGCGAAGGCGGCUCACUGGUCCAUUACUGACGCUGAGGCGCGAAAGCGUGGGGAGCAAACAGGAUUAGAUACCCCCGUAGUCCCUGUCUCUUAUAC
rnacentral:rRNA from 1 species